rnacentral:rRNA from 1 species
AUUGAACGCUGGCGGCAUGCUUUACACAUGCAAGUCGAACGGUAACAGGCCUUCGGGCGCUGACGAGUGGCGAACGGGUGAGUAAUGCAUCGGAACGUGCCCAGUCGUGGGGGAUAACGCAGCGAAAGCUGUGCUAAUACAGCAUACGAUCUGCGGAUGAAAGCGGGGGACCUUCGGGCCUCGCGCGAUUGGAGCGGCCGAUGUCAGAUUAGGUAGUUGGUGGGGUAAAGGCUCACCAAGCCAACGAUCUGUAGCUGGUCUGAGAGGACGACCAGCCACACUGGGACUGAGACACGGCCCAGACUCCUACGGGAGGCAGCAGUGGGGAAUUUUGGACAAUGGGCGCAAGCCUGAGUCAGCAAUGCCGCGUGCAGGAAGAAGGCCUUCGGGUUGUAAACUGCUUUUGUACGGAGCGAAAAGGCUCCCUCUAAUACAGGGGGCUCAUGACGGUACCGUAAGAAUAAGCACCGGCUAACUACGUGCCAGCCGCCGCUGUAACAC